rnacentral:snRNA from 1 species
GUGUUCAUUGGGCAGCACAUAUACUAAAACUGGAGCAAUACAGAGAAGACUAACAUGGUCCCAGUGCAAGGGUGUCAUGCAAAUCUGUGAAGUGUUCCAUAAUUUU